GUAAAAUUCAUAUCUGAAUCUCCAGACUGCCUAGCAGAGAUCUUCACAAGCAUCUGCUCUCGGCUCUGAAGAGAGUUUUCUCAUCCAAGACCCUCAGUGAAAGACUGAACUCAUGAUUCUUCAGAAGCUUAAACGUGCUCUGUAAUCUCAAGUAUUUAAAACCAGAAGAAGUAGCCAACUGCUCAACAUCUUCAUUUCAUCUUGAGUUCUCACCAGGAAGACUUUUCUGAUUUGAAUCUAGACAAAGCAAGACUUAUCUUCAAAUCAGACCCAGCCUGAACUUGCCCUGAAGAUGUAUCAAAGUCCUGCAAAUGGCUCUACAUUUUCUGCAACUUGCGUCAUUUCGUAGAAUUGUGGUGAAUAUCCCCAGGGCAGAAGAGCAGGCAGAGGUUCUCAUAAGCACUGCUGAAGAAUUCUUAUAAUGAAAUAAAUAAAAAUGCUUUACCUCUUUCUCU
rnacentral:lncRNA from 10 species